CCUACGGGAGGCAGCAGUGAGGAAUAUUGGUCAAUGGACGAGAGUCUGAACCAGCCAAGUAGCGUGAAGGAUGACUGCCCUAUGGGUUGUAAACUUCUUUUAUAAAGGAAUAAAACGAGGUACGUGUGCCUUUUUGCAUGUACUUUAUGAAUAAGGAUCGGCUAACUCCGUGCCAGCAGCCGCGGUAAUACGGAGGAUCCGAGCGUUAUCCGGAUUUAUUGGGUUUAAAGGGAGCGUAGAUGGGUUGUUAAGUCAGUUGUGAAAGUUUGCGGCUCAACCGUAAAAUUGCAAUUGAUACUGGCAGUCUUGAGUACAGUUGAGGUAGGCGGAAUUCGUGGUGUAGCGGUGAAAUGCUUAGAUAUCACGAAGAACCCCGAUUGCGAAGGCAGCUUACUAGACUGUAACUGACAUUGAUGCUCGAAAGUGUGGGGAUCAAACAGGAUUAGAUACCCGUGUAGUC
rnacentral:rRNA from 1 species